UCUUUAUUCUUUCUAUCGAUCUUCCCAGCUGCAUCUUGUCUCGCAGACUGGCGCAGUAAUCGUUUAGGGUAGAAUGGCAUUUUCAGUUGAAAGAAGUUUCUGUCUGAAAUGGUUAGUAUUAUCAUUUAGUUGUUUUAAUUUGUCGGUGCAGAUGGAUGAACUAAAAGAGAAUAGAGGAAUCUAUCAGAUUAGAACGGAGUUCUCUGAAAAGUGGUUAUGUUAAACGGCGACGUUUUUCAUUACUAAUGAAAUUUAAGUAGACAGCUGACAUUCGUGUUUCUAGCGCUGCAUGAUAGAUUAUUAUAUUUCCUGCCUGCCGAAAAAAGGAAAAUCAGAUUGAGUGGUAGAAAAUUAGAAAACACUAGGAUAAAAAAAAAAAUCUGAAAAUUUUUACUGAUUUGCGUGCACUGAAUAGGAUAUGUCGUUCGUGUUGAUGACCUACCGAGAAAAUAUAACGCCCAUUGUAGCCUGUGCUGUAAGUGUGCUUCCGCUGACGCUGGGCAAGGGCGAUAUUAGAAUAUUGUCUCGUCCAAAUUACAGCUAUAUAAAACGCAUGGCUGGCAAUGUAAUCAUUGAAUAACUUUUUUGUUCUUUGUUCUCCCUUUUUCAGCGUCAACGGCAUCGAUCGCGUCUGUUGAAAGAUUCUCUCGGGAAUUCAAUCAAUACAGCAUAGAGGUCUACGCGAAACUUGACAUCUGUUAGCCCAGUACAGCAAUGUCGAGUAAUCUCUCGGUCUAAGAAGGCUUAUACUUUGUGGGGAUUGAAAUCUACCAGGAAUUUCUCACUUACCUUUGCAUGUUUAAAUAGAAGACAGCCGAUUCCAAUUUAGCCAAACAUUUCACAAUGGAAAUUAAAGGACAGAAACCAUACGACUAACAAUAGAGCCGGUACGUCAUCACUAUUUUCAAGGUGUUCGAAACCGGUUAGUUCUCGUCUGGCUUUUUAGGAACGUAACGUUUUUGUGGUAUUUUUCAUCAAAUGUGGCAAUCACGUCCGCUAUUUUAAUGCUGAAAGACAUUCGUCUAGUGCGAGGUAUUAAUCUCAUUCCCGUUAUAUAGCAAUGUUGUGGAAAACCACGUCGUAGAUGGUUUUGAAGCCGCUGUACGCCACUCACGUGUUUUUCACUCAAUGCUUUCACACCGUGUCGUAAACAAAGCAUAUCACGGACGUUAUAUAAAAUUCUUUGUGAAGAUAA